rnacentral:lncRNA from 1 species
AGCUUUGAAGCCGGCGAGCGGUGAGGAGGAGGCGCCCUCGCGUGUGGAGAGCGGACUCCGCCUGGACUCCACCGCCCACGGCCGCAUCCCAUCGCCGCACAAGAUCGCCGGAGUCAUAUUAUCGACGUAGUUAAAGCCCACUAGCCUAAAGCCGGGCGGACUGCGGUGUGGUCCCUGAUCCCUACGGUGGUGGUGGUAACUCACACUUGUUUCAGUUCUGAAACUGCUCUUCCUGCUGCUGGAGCCCCCACCCCUGCUCCAUUUUGAAGUAGCUGAUCCGGAUCAGCUUAGAUUGUGCCAAGUUUCAAGAAAAAGAUGAAAUAUGAGUUGCAUUUUGACAAAUGAAGAGGAUGUGAAGGGCAGAAGGAGCAGAAACUACCAGCAGAGAUGCUAAGAUGAAAG